rnacentral:rRNA from 1 species
AUACGGAGGAUCCGAGCGUUAUCCGGAUUUCUUGGGUUUAAAGGGUGUGCAGGCGGCCAUUUAAGUCAGCGGUUAAAUCGUGGGGCUCAACCCCAUUCUGCAGUUGAUACUGGGUGGCUUGAUUGCGGUCGAGGUUGGCGGAAUUCGUUGUGUCGCGGUGAAAUGCAUAGAUAUGACGAAGAACACCGAUUGUGUAGGCAGCUGACCAGACCGCAAAUGACGCUCAUGCACGAAAGUGCGGGGAUCGAACAGGAUUAGAUACCCUGGUAGUCCGCACAGUAAACGAUGAAUACUUGUUUUCGGCGAUAUAAUGUCGGAGGCAAAGCGAAAGCGAUAAGUAUUCCACCUGGGGAGUACGCCGGCAACGGUGAAACUCAAAGGAAUUGGCGGGG